rnacentral:rRNA from 1 species
UAGCGGUGAAAUUCCAAUCGAGCCCGGAGAUAGCUGGUUCUCCCCGAAAUAGCUUUAGGGCUAGCCUCAAGGUGAGAGAUACGGAGGUAGAGCACUGAAUGUCCUAGGGGGUAUUGCACCUACCGAAGACUAUCAAACUCCGAAUGCCGUCAUCUUAUACUUGGGAGUCAGACUGUGGGUGAUAAGAUUCAUAGUCGAAAGGGCAACAGCCCAGAUCGUCAGCUAAGGUCCCUAAAUGUAAGUUAAGUGGUAAAGGAUGUGGGAUUGCACAGACAACCAGGAUGUUGGCUUAGAAGCAGCCACUCAUUCAAAGAGUGCGUAAUAGCUCACUGGUCGAGUGAUCCUGCGCCGAAGAUUUCCGGGGCUAAAACUUACUACCGAAGCUACGGCAUCAGUAAUGAUGGGUAGGGGAGCUUCCCAUACGGGUUGAAGCGUGACCGUAAGGACAUGUGGACAGUAUGGGAGUGAGAAUGUUGGCAUGAGUAGCGAGAUGUGGGUGAGAAUCCCACAGGCCGUAAACCCAAGGUUUCCAGGGGAAGGUUCGUCCGCCCUGGGUUAGUCGGGACCUAAGCUGAGGCCGAAAGGCGUAGGUGAUGGACAACAGGUUGAUAUUCCUGUACUACCGAUAACCGUUUGAGAGAAGGGAUGACACAGUAGGAUAAGCUAAGCACACUGUUGGUUAUGUGUGCCCAAGCAUUGAGGCAGUCAAAGUAGGCAAAUCCGCUUUGAUAAUGCUGGGAUGUGAUGGGGAGCGAAAUUUAGUAGCGAAGUAGCUGAUUUCACACUGUCAAGAAAAGUCUCUAUCGAGGUUAAAGGUACCCGUACCGCAAACCGACACAGGUGGGUGAGGAGAGUAUCCUAAGGCCAGCGAGAGAACUGUUGUUAAGGAACUCGGCAAAAUGACCCCGUAACUUAGGGAUAAGGGGUGCCACCAUCCGGUGGCCGCAGAGAAUAGGCCCAAGCGACUGUUUACCAAAAACAUAGGUUUCUGCUAAGUCGCAAGACGAUGUAUAGGAGCUGACGCCUGCCCGGUGCUGGAAGGUUAAGGGGAUCUGUUAGAGCAA